rnacentral:rRNA from 1 species
UACGUAGGGUGCGAGCGUUGUCCGGAAUUAUUGGGCGUAAAGGGCUCGUAGGCGGUUUGUCGCGUCGGGAGUGAAAAUCCAGGGCUUAACUCUGGACUGGCUUCCGAUACGGGCAGACUAGAGGUAGGCAGGGGAGAACGGAAUUCCUGGUGUAGCGGUGAAAUGCGCAGAUAUCAGGAGGAACACCGGUGGCGAAGGCGGUUCUCUGGGCCUUACCUGACGCUGAGGAGCGAAAGCGUGGGGAGCAAACAGG